rnacentral:rRNA from 1 species
AGUCGCAAGACCGCGAGGUUUAGCAAAUCUCUUAAAGCCGUUCUCAGUUCGGAUUGUAGGCUGCAACUCGCCUACAUGAAGUCGGAAUCGCUAGUAAUCGCGGAUCAGCAUGCCGCGGUGAAUACGUUCCCGGGCCUUGUACACACCGCCCGUCACACCAUGAGAGUUUGUAACACCCAAAGCCGGUGGGGUAACCUUUUGGAGCCAGCCGUCUAAGGUGGGACAGAUGAUUGGGGUGAAGUCGUAACAAGGUAUC